rnacentral:rRNA from 1 species
UACGGGGGCUGCAGUGGGGAAUAUUGGACAAUGGGCGAAAGCCUGAUCCAGCCAUGCCGCGUGUGUGAAGAAGGCCUUCGGGUUGUAAAGCACUUUCAGUGGGGAAGAAAGCCUUGGGGCUAAUACCCUCGAGGAAGGACAUCACCCACAGAAGAAGCACCGGCUAACUCCGUGCCAGCAGCCGCGGUAAUACGGAGGGUGCGAGCGUUAAUCGGAAUUACUGGGCGUAAAGCGCGCGUAGGCGGUCUGAUAAGCCGGUUGUGAAAGCCCCGGGCUCAACCUGGGAACGGCAUCCGGAACUGUCAGGCUAGAGUGCAGGAGAGGAAGGUAGAAUUCCCGGUGUAGCGGUGAAAUGCGUAGAGAUCGGGAGGAAUACCAGUGGCGAAGGCGGCCUUCUGGACUGACACUGACGCUGAGGUGCGAAAGCGUGGGUAGCAAACAGGAUUAGAUACCCCUGUAGUC